AGUCAUGCUGGGGGGCCCCAGGACGGGGGUCUUGUGCUGCUGGGUGCAGAGAGCAGCCACAUCCUGUGGGCCAUUGUACAUUGCAUUUUAACUUAGCAUUGUGUUUCUUCUGGUAGUCUCAGGACCUUAAUCAGAACUGAUCUACGAUUUCAGUCUAGUCUCAGCUCUGUUACGUGAGAUUAAGGAACGUGUCUGUGUUCAUCCUGAGGCUGCAGUGGGAAAGGGUGAGAGCAAAUACAGUGGAAAGUCAGCAAAAUUCUGAAGGAACAGCUUCCGUGCAAAUACACUGUGACUUCAAUUUGAUUUGUCAGUGUCAAUGUGGGACAAAAAUCAUCAAGUUCUGGCUGGGCGCGGUGGCUCAUGCCUAUAAUCCCAGCACUUUGGGAGGCCAAGGCAGGUGGAUCACGAGGUCAAGAGAUCGAGACCAUCCUGGUCAACAAGGUGUGAAUUCCUAAUCAAAAUUUUGCAUACAAAUUCCAUCUCAGUAUUUUGGAUUUUGAAAAACCCAGCUUGAAACAGAGAUCAAGUUGCUAUCAAGAUGAAUGGAAACGGAUUCUCUAAUUUCUAAACAAGAGUGAACCCGUGUUUAAGUUGCUUAGUGAAAUGAUGAAGGCCAUUACAUUUGAAGAAUAAAAUAAAUUAGAGCUCUGAAUAGGCAAAUGAAGUCCUUUUCUGAUGAGGAAACAUGCAUGCACAUCCAUGCACACAAGAACCAAGCUAACGUAGAAAAAUUAUACUACAAAAUGAAUAGAAACUUCUGCUCUGUAAAAGUUGCUGUGUUUGUAAUUCAGAUAGCGAUCAACGGGCCUGAACAAACAAGUGGAUAAAUAGGUCAAUCCAUCAUCAAAACAGCUCAGUGGGAGGGAGAGGAAUAUAAAACAGCCCUGAAUGGCAAAGUGGGAGCUACCAGAUUUUAUAAACCUUUAUGUGAUGGACAUGUGUAAGGUGAGUUUAGAAUCAUUGUCUCUUGGGACACACUAAUUGCAAUGCUGGAUACUUCAGAGACCUCCACAGGCUAAGGAGAGCAGUUAUUUUGGGACAAACCUUCAGGUUAUAUUUGAGACUGGGGUUCAAGUGGAAGUCAAACAGGAAAAAAAGAGAUAUUCAACAAAACCUUAGGGACUUGAAGCCAGAAUCCGUCAAAAAUAGGAGUAAGCUCUGGCCCCACAUUGCUGAAAAUGCAACUGAAAAUGAACUGGCUGUGCCUGUGCCUUGCUGAGAGAUGAAGCAGUCUUAGUCCUGUAGGUGAUGCUGUGGUCAGGCGCUGCGGUCCGGGUGGGUACUGUGUCUGUGAGCAUCUGGGGUCGCCAGCAGUCCUUUCUCAGCAGCACACACAUACAGGAAUCCACCUGAGUUCUGACAACAGAAUGCUGCUUAGGAUGUCACAAGGGCUUGGAAUUGCGGGGAGCUAUGCUUCAGUACAUGGACUGGGACCACUCAGGAGCUUCUGGCUCAACUUACAAUACCAAAGAUGUGGAACCAACCUAAGUGCCCAUCAACCAAUGAGUGAGUAAAGAAAACGAGGACUAUAUACACCAUGGAAUACUAUUCAGCCCUGAAAAAGAAAGAAGUAAUAUAUUUUGCAGCAGUUUGGAUGGUACUGGAGGCCUUUAUUUCAAGUGAAGUAAGUCAGGAGUGAAAACUCAAAUACUGUAUGUUCUCACUUAUAAGUGGGAGGUAAGCUAUGGGUAAACAAAGGCAUAUAGAGUGGUAUCAUGAACACUGGAGACCUGAGAAGGGGGAAGGCUGGAAAGGAGGUGAGGAAUAAACAGCAUAUGUUGGUUAUAAUGUACACUACUCUGGUGACAGGUGCACUAAAAUUUCAAUCUUCACCACUAUACAAUUCAUUCAUGUAACAAAAAAUCAUUUGUUCCCCUAAACAAUUGAAAUAAUUUUAAGAAAGAAACCCAAAUACCGAAUCUUCUCACUUACAAGUGACAGCUAAACACUGAGUACACAUGGGCACAAAGAUGAGAACAAUUGACACUGGGGCCUACUUGAGUCAAGAGGGUGGGAGGAGGAGGUUGUGGGUCAGAAAACUACCUAUUGGGUACUAGGCUCACUACCUAGGUGAAGAAAUCACCAAACCCUGGUGACACACAAUUUAAUCAUGUAACAAAUCUGCACAUGUACCCCCGAAUCUAAAGUGUAAAAACUUUUAAUAAGACCAUUCCUUUUAGAAAGCAGUUGUGAUCAUAAAAGAAACUUGGUAUCUUCAUUACUUUUGGGAAAGCAAUCCAUAGGAUGAUGAUUUUCUGUAUCUCUUGGUCUAGGGGACAAUCUUCUGUUUUUGCGAUUUUGUCUAGAGAGAUAAAAGGCACUAUUUAUUUAUUCAACAUUUAUUUAUUACAGACUUUUAUCUGCCACUGAACUUAUAGGUGUGGAAGGAUCACAAAGUUGAAUAGGAUCUAAAUAUCUCUUAAUCUAGCCAUGGAAAUAAACACAUAAUGUGUUUCUGCUUUGCAGAAUACUUAUAAUACUUUAAAAAAUUUUCCUCCAAGUGUGAAAUGGAGUACUGUGGAAAUAUUGAAAACGGAAUGUUAAAUUUAGUGAGAAGACGAGAAGUCUUCAAAAGAAGCAGCGGAAAUAAUCGCAAGGUGUGGAGCCUAAUAGUCUAAUGUGUUUGGAACUGGCAAGGAACUGGGUUGCCAAAUUUCAGAAUCUUGGAAGGAAAAUUGAGAAGCAGUAGCAAGUGAGGUAAAUUGAUGCCAGAUUCUGCAUGGUUGUAUACACCAGGCUCAGUUGUUUGAACUUUAAUCCAUAAGCAAUGGAGGAGCCACAAGAGUUUUAAAAAUGAAACCUUAUUAUAUGUAAUCUGGGUUAUUAAGAAAAGACUAACAUCUGUCUGUAAACUCCAACAACUUAGGUCACUGUUUUAGGGGAGAAUGUAGAGAAAUGAAACUAAUGUUGUUUGGGAGGAAGAGAUGAAAAGUAAUUCAGAAAAUUUCAUGACUAAUGAGGAUUUAGCAUCAUUAAACACAAGUGUCCUAUCUGUGUGUGGGAUGAAAGGAGGGAAGAGUGGAGGAUAUGAAGGAUCCUAACUUGGAAGGCUAAGUAGGUCAGCAUGCCAUUCUUCAAGAAAGGGACUUUGAGCAGAGAAACAAGCCUUUGCUGGAAGGUUAUACAUUUGGUUUAGGCAACUCUUUUAAUGUCAAUUGCUUAUGAGGCACAGAAUAAGAGUUGCCUGUCUGUGGUCAGCAGAACUAUGGUUUAACAUUUAGAAGAGGUGAGACUUCAGUGAGAGAUUUUGGGGAGGGUUUCAGUAUAGUCAAAAGCAGCAGAGAAAUCCAGGAAGAUGAUACAGAAUACAACUUAUAUGAAACUGGCAAUUAGUGAUCAUUGCAGAUAAUUUUCAAGAGCAAAGUCAGUGGUGGUAUGGUAGAAAAGACCUUAGUUGAAUGACUGGAAUUUGGUGUGGUAGACACUGCUAAUAUUAUUGCAAAUAUCUAUUCUCCCAGUUUUUGUCAAUAGAUCCUUAGUUUUAGUCAAAGGGCUAUGUGCAGCUAAAGAUGACCAUAUGAGACAUUUGUGGUCAAUGAGACAUAUGUAGAAGUCUGUUGUGAUUAUCUGGGAGAGUCUGUGGAUCUUGACAGGUACUGCUUCUUUUCAUUUUUCCUCUUUGCUCUUCCUCCUUCUUCUGUCCUAGAAUACUAUAUGAGGCAACAAUGAUGACAAUGAAUGUCUACACAUUUAGGGUGAUGAGAAAGAUAGCAAUGUCGAGGCCUGAGAUGAUUCUGACCUAUCUGUCUCUAGAGAUCUUGUUUUGUAGGUCAAACAAACUGUUGAACAGCUUUGGUCAGAUAACCUAGAGCUUUUUGUAGCUGGAUAUGUUUUCAUGAUCAGAAGCUAAACCUUCAAGUUGGUAUUAAACCUGGGCAUUGGCAACAAAGAGUCUCUGAGACUUAAAGUUGAUGGCAAGAUCCAUUUGGCAUCCAUUUAUUAAUUAUUCUAUGGACACCUACCUCAAAAUCUUCAGGGGUAGCUCUAAAAAUGGAGAUGCUAGGUCAUACCUAUAGACUACAUCAGAUCGUCUGGGAAUGGAGCCUGGAAAUCUACUUUUAAUGCACUAAAGUUUGAGAAAUACAGCAUAGUUUAUGGCUCUUCUAUGCCUCUUUCCGAUUCAUGCAUGUUGGGUACACUGUGGGCAGCCUGUGACAGUGAGUCUGUGUCCAUUCCAUUGGGGAUAAAUGGUUAUAUCUCUAUCUGGAUAAGUUAAAGAAACAAUUGAAGAGCCAAGUGGAAAUUUAGUCAUUAGAAAAGUCAGGCUUGGAUGCUGACAUACUCUAGGUUGAUUUUACAAUGUAUAACAUCAAUAUCCAGUGCCUUUAAAAUCUGUAAAGGAAUGGGAGAUCUUGAGGGCCACUGAAUAACUGAAGAGAAAAUAAUUAGGGUGUGAAUCUUUUCCUUUCUCUCAUCAUUGAGGUCACAGGCACAAGCACAUGUGAUAUCUCUGGGGAAAGCAGUAAGAAAUAUUCUCAUAGAGAUAAGAAAGAGGGAGGGAAGAUUGUAAUUCAAAGCAAAGUUGGAUAGUUUUAUCUCCUAUGUUUUCAGAAAUCAGUCAAGUUUUCAUACCACUGUAUAGUUCUUAUUGUAGGUCACUAGAAUAUUAUAUUUCCACCUGUCAUUUUAGUUUUAAAAACUUAGUAUAUUUUUUUCUUCUUAUGUUAACACAGGUAAGAUCUAGUUAGCAGUUUCCAUUGACUGUGUACAACAUCCAAAAGUGGGUAAGGUUUUGACUUGUUUAUUCGUAGUUUCUUUCUUUAAACAUGGAGUCUGUGAAGAGAUUUUUUUUCAGUAGGAUAUGUUGUCCAAAUGAAAACAUUCUGCAAAGUAAUGACAUAAAGAUAAAACCAAGAUAAAGAGCUGAGAUAUCAUUAUGUUUGACAGAGGAUAUACAGGACUUAUGCUGAAAUCGAAGUGAUAAAAACUAACCUCAUGAAAAAAUGCAAACACUCAAAGGUUGUAUGAAAAUAUACACAAAUCACAUUUGUAAAGCGUUUCUAAUGCCAUUUUUUAAAAAAGUAAAUUCCCUCUAAAAAGACUCAUCUUUGGGUGGCAGAAACAAUGAGGAUUAAAAUCUGAGACGUCAGCAAGACUCCUUUGCAUCUUCAAAAAUGUGAAAACAAACCUUAAGGCAAUAUGCUAAAAAUAGGCUAAUUUUAGUGAAAUGAGCUGUUUGAAUAAAUGAAACUAAUAGUUUUUAUGUAAACCAUCUGUGGUGUGAAAUGGAAAGUCAUACAGAAAAGUCCUUAGAGACUUCUGAUCGCUCUACGUUAGAAAGGAGAAGGGUAGGAGAAAAAAAUUGGGUCUCUUUCUGUCUCUCUGGGAAUUAACAAAGUGAUCAGCAAAGUGAAGCUGCAGGCCACCUUGCUCUGGCUGCAGGCAAUCUGGCUCCUCCAGCUGUCCAGAAUUUGAAGGUGAACGUUCUGAAAAUGCAAGUCCAGAAUCAUUUUGGUAAACCAAUAGGUUGUAUAAAGUAGCAGAUCCUCCUGGAAGGAAAGAAUGGAGGAGAGAAAGAGAGAGGGAGACCUAAAUUCUCAGAGACUUAGUGCUAUAGAGGACUGUCACUCUGUCAUGUUGGUCUCCUGAAACCACAUCAUGAAACCAGGUGUUAAAAAUGACCCAGCUCAACAGCUAGAAUGGCUUUGUAGGUAUGUGUAUUUUGUAAUAGUAUUCCGGAAAUUGCAGUUUGAUUUAGACACAUUGUUCUUUCUUUUGUUCUUCCAUGAAACACUUGCUAAGACCAGAUUUAGGUUUCUGUGGGUCUAGCUUGAUAAAAAAACAAAAACAAUGUAGAAUAUGAAAUACCCCAGAAUGGGUUCCAGUUUAUAGAGAGAUGAGUUCUAAGGAUUUUCCUCAGGCUGGAGAAACAAUAGUCCUUGCAAAGGCAAAUCUAGUAGGAUAAAAGUACAGGCUACUUUUAUACAGGAUAAUUUCUACACGCCUGUGCAUUAUACCAAGAUGUUAGGUUUCUGGAGGGACUUUACCCAUGGACCACAAGCAAUGGGGUUAGCUUCACUGGUUUUUUUUUUUGGUAAUCAUAACAGGGUCCCAACAGUUUGUCAAGGACUAAUCACUUAAAUUAUUGGCUUCAUCAGAUUCAGUCUUGGAACUAGUAUACCCCUUCAUCUCCCACACUUAGUUAUCUCAUCUGAAUAAUCAAAGAAUUACAGGCCAAUGGGAGGCAACCAAAAUUAUAAAGGAGCUAUGAAGAAACUUUGCCACAUGCUGCCCCACAAAGCAUGAUGGGAAUACAUGUAAGUGAUUUUUUCCCUGCCUCUACCCUGGCCUUUCAUUGAUUCUAUUUAAAGCAGCAUUAAGUUUUUCGGGGAUAAAAGGUUAAAGCUGUAUCUUAACCCUUUGAUUAGCAACAAUGUACUUUAAAUCCAGUGAUAGACUUCUUGUUUUGCUGUAAGGUCUGAGGUACCUUUGGACCAAGUAAGAGGGUGUAUUUCUGCACAGUCCGGCACUUGGCCUAAUUUCUCAGUGUGAGCAGGCCCCUGAAGAGAGAGUUCUUGGCCUAGAAAAUGACCGCAGUGCCCAUAAGCCUGGAGCUAUUUUAGAACUUAGAAUACUCAAUGGCUUAUGAUCAGAGAUGAAUUUUUAAGUAAAUUCUGUACUGAUGCUUCUUUGUCCAUAGCCUGUGCUUCAGAGUCAGGCUCAGUGGGGCUGAGGCAAACACACACCUUUCUUGUCUUCUUAAUGUUUAUAGUCACUUUGUUUCUCUAAUUUUAAGUGUUGAAUUAGUGCUCUUUCUCAUCCCACCACUGCCCCCCCAUUGUGAUAUGUGGAAAGGACUGGAGAGACAGCUUUUGGAUGCUGACGGUGGAAAGUGACACAUUCAAGGAUGAGUGGAUGGCUCAUUUGUCUGUUCCUUGGAAUCUGGCUGGAUUUGAUCCUGAUUCAAAUGUCAAGCAUCAGAGUGCAUCAACAGCAGAGACUUCAAAAUGAAGUUAUUUAAAAGUUAAACGUUGGUAAACACCUGCUUGGAAUGUCCUUGUGGACAGCUUGCAUUCUAAGCCACCUCUCUCCUUCCCCCAAGCCCAUACCUAAGAGUGUAAUGGAAAGUGUCAGCGGAGAAAGGGUUAACAGAUGACAACGUCCUUUUGCAUCUGCUCUAACAACUUAGUCCAGCCUGAUGCAAUGCAGAAAUGCAGAGAUUAAUCUUCCGAAAAGCAGUCAUAUUGGAAAGGCUAAUGUGACUUUCACCACAACACUGGGCCCUUUGUAGUCCGAUGUUUAAUUCCACUGGAAUGUUAUUCUUUCCACUGCUUUUCUGACUAUAUUUGGAUUUGAAACUUCCAGGUCUUAUUCCAGUACAAAACUCAAUCUGCCUUAACAGACUUCAAAACAUCCAAAUCUGUUUUAUUCUACAGGUUUCCACUGAAUCAAAAAGCAAGGCGCAUGGUUUACCAAGUAAAUGGCUUGUCCUCUUUCAGAGUUCUUGGGAGAAAUCCCAGUUCCAAUGCUAAGGAUGAAAGGCCACUACUGAAACUUGCCCUUAGCAUCCCACUGUGGGGUCUCUUCCCAGCUAUAUGUCGGAUACGGCUUGUGCCAGGCCUGAAGAAACAAAACAUUAAUUUUGGAAUUCUGAUGGCUUUAAACCUUUGAUCAUCACUCUCUAAACCGUCUUUAAAACAUUUUGCCUACAACAGUUGCAAGCUGUGGUUUUUUUGUCUGUGUGAGGUGACUAACAGUGCUACCGCUACGCUCUCUCCGCGUGGGGAAUGUAUUCAUCUAGCACCCAAAACCACCUACUGGCUUCCGGCACCUCUUAUCAGCUAAGCCAUCAGCCCUGAGCUGACAUUUCAGCAUUUAGAAGCUCCCUACCCCCACCAAAAAUAAGUGACAGGAGGAGAAAAAAAAGCUCAUUUGGCAAUAGUUUGCUUUUGCUGUUUGGCCUGGAGAAAGACAUUCAGAGUGGUAGAAGAUUGUUU